UAGAUAGAGGGGUGUAGUCUUGGCUAGACCGAUAGUUUUAAUUCCGCAUUUGUUUCGGUUAGCCGACGUAAUAAGUUUUAGAAAGGACUAUUCACCCCCCCUCUAGUCCGCCAUCUCGACCCUUCACAAGGGCCGUCUCCUCUGGUCCUUGGGGCUUCGGCGCCCCCGUGUCCUGCCCCUGGUGGCGCCCUCCCUCCUCGUAGCCCGGAGGCGGCGGCGACACAGGCCUAGCCGACCCAGGAGUCGACUGAGCCCCCCUCUUCAC
rnacentral:lncRNA from 1 species